UUGAGGGGAGAGAAGAGGAUUUGUGUUAAUAUUCCUUCAACUUCCAGCGAUCAGGGGUGAGUAUGGCUUUUGGACGGCAUUCUCAGCACUGCUUAUUCUCCUUUUCUUCUUCUUUCCUAGUGAAAUGAAACUUCCAUUUAUUGCAUUAAUGAUGGUAAUACUGUCCCCUUAUCAAGUUUCAAACUUAAGGGGACAAAGGAGGAGGCCGUUCACUUCUUGUGUGUUUGACUGCUGUUACUUCACUUGUUGAGAAGGAUGAGGUUGAUCCAAAGCAAAUUGGUAGACUGGAAGUUGGAAUCCUAUCAAAAUCCAUUGUGUUAUUCACAUUCUCUUCUACUUAAACAGAAAAUGUAGGGUAUAUUAUCUGUUGUAGGGUAUUCAGCUGAAGGUUGUAUGAAUACAUACC